GACGAACGCUGGCGGCGUGCUUAACACAUGCAAGUCGAACGGAAAGGCCCUGCUUGCAGGGUACUCGAGUGGCGAACGGGUGAGUAACACGUGGGUGAUCUGCCCUGCACUUCGGGAUAAGCCUGGGAAACUGGGUCUAAUACCGGAUAGGAGCCAUUUUUAGUGUGAUGGUUGGAAAGUUUUUUCGGUGUAGGAUGAGCUCGCGGCCUAUCAGCUUGUUGGUGGGGUAAUGGCCUACCAAGGCGGCGACGGGUAGCCGGCCUGAGAGGGUGGACGGCCACAUUGGGUCUGAGAUACGGCCCAGACUCCUAAGGGAGGCAGCAGUGGGGAAUAUUGCACAAUGGGCGCAAGCCUGAUGCAGCGACGCCGCGUGGGGGAUGACGGCCUUCGGGUUGUAAACUCCUUUCGCUAGGGACGAAGCUUUUUGUGACGGUACCUAGAUAAGAAGCACCGGCUAACUACGUG
rnacentral:rRNA from 1 species